UACGUAGGGUGCAAGCGUUGUCCGGAAUUAUUGGGCGUAAAGAGCUCGUAGGCGGUCUGUCACGUCGGCUGUGAAAACCCGAGGCUCAACCUCGGGCCUGCAGUCGAUACGGGCAAACUAGAGUACUGCAGGGGAGACUGGAAUUCCUGGUGUAGCGGUGAAGUGCGCAGAUAUCAGGAGGAACACCGGUGGCGAAGGCGGGUCUCUGGGCAGUAACUGACGCUGAGGAGCGAAAGCGUGGGGAGCGAACAGGAUUAGAUACCC
rnacentral:rRNA from 1 species